rnacentral:lncRNA from 1 species
UUUUUUUUCUUUUUUUGGUUAUCACUUUUUGAGACCUAAGAAACUGUUGCACAAGUCAUGAAACUAUUCCGUUUUCCCCAAAAAGCUUUAUGGUUUUACAUUUUAUUUUUAUGUUAUGCUCUACCUCAAGUUAAUCCUUGUGUUUGAUGUGAGGUAGAGGUUGAGAUUCACUUUUUUCUAUAUGGAUAUUCAGUUAUUUCAGUGCUCUUCAUGGGAAAAAAACUUUCCUUUCCCUGUUGGACUGCUUUGGUGCCUAUAUCAAAAAUUCCAUAAACAUGAAUCUAUUUCUGGGUGCUCUUUUUCACUCAUGUAUUUGAUACUAUGUCAGUGUCACCAUCGUGAUUACUAUGGGUUGACAGUAAAUCUUGAAAUCAGGUACUGUAAGUCCUCCAGUUUUGUUCUUUUUCAAGACUGCUUUGGCUAUUCUAAGUCCUCUGCAUUUCCACUUUUAUUUUGUUUUAGUUUAUUUAUUUGGUCUUUUUAGGGCCACACCCACGGCAUAUGGAAAUUCCCAGGUACGGCUCUAAAAAGACAAAAAAUAAAAUAAAAUAAAUAAAAAAUACUAAAAUAUGAUCAGUUACUGGGGAUGAGAAGAUACAUAGGUAUAAUCUAUAACUUCUAUAAACUAGUCCUUUAAGAAUUUAUCUUGGCACUGAAAGAACCUGAUAAACAAAAUAACCCCUUGGCAGCACUCAUGUUCCAUUUAAUUUUCCCUUGAGGACAGGAAAGAUGGAAUAACUUGAAGAUCACGAAAAGCAAAAUUACUAGUUUUUGAAUCACUACCUAAAAAUUAGUUCAUUUAAUGUUUCUAUCUUAAAACACCAACACAGAUGUUUGGCCUCUCUGCCUUGAAACUCUAUGCUUUUGUAAAAAAUGUUCAGAAUGUCACAUUAAAUCCUCACAAGCAACAUUGUUGCAAUAAGAACAUAAAUACUAAUAAAUCCCAAGUUGGUAAUAAAUAACCCAUUAAAACAGAAGUAUCUCACGUGAACCCAUUUAUAACUGAAAAGAGCCUCUAUAUAAUAUUAAACAACAGCAUAUGCUGGAAUGAAGACAGGAUCUAUUUUUAUGUAUUUAUGAAGUACUGAAUUAUAAAAUAUGAAGUGCUCAGCAAGGCAGGUGUAUUUGGAAGCAGUAAAAAGAAUCCAUGCUUUCCCCUUACCCCCAAAUAUGAUUAUUCAAAUGAAAAAGAAAAGUAUGUGUGGUCUAAAGGUACCUAGCUAUUCCAUAAGUAAUUACUCAUCAGCAUAUGCUAAAAUUAAAUUUAGAGAAAGCUUUGUAACUUAGUCCUUCAGUUAAUAAUAGCCCAGAAAGUACAAACUGAAAAAAAGCUUCCUAAAAACAGUUUUUGUAGUUUUAUCACCAGUUACAGGGAACUAGGAAAUUACCUAACUUUAGGGCUUCUGAGAACCUUGAUCUAUUAAUUAAAUUCCUUUAUUCUCUAUGAUAGUACCCAAGUAUUAUAACAAAGUAACAAAAGUAGCAAAAGACAUAUGACCUUUUUUAGGGCAAAUUUACCAUGUUUUAUUCUUCUCAUAAAGGUUCAAUAAUUUCCUUCCUAUAAAAAUCAGAAUCUUUUAAAUUAUAAAAUAGGCUUAUGUUUUGCAUAAUUUAAUUACACUUAUGUGUGUAUAUGUGUGUGUGUGUGUUUCAAGCAGUGAAAAGUUUAAAUGUAAGUCAAAAUUCUUCUAAUCUUAUAUGCUAAAGAUAACCAUAUUAAGGAUUUAGUGUAAUAUCCUUCCAGAUUUUUACUAUGCUAUACAUACAUACAUGUAAUUUUAGGUCAAAAAUAGAAUUAUAUCUACUUCAGGUAACUUCCUUUUUGCCCACCUAGAAAUAUAUAACAGAUGUUUUUUCUAUGAGUACACAGAUAUACCUCUUUCUAUUUAGCAGCUGAGUAGUAUUCUAAAGAAGAAUUGUACCAUAAUUAUUCAACAUCCAAAUUUAAACAUUUAGAUUGCUUUCAAUUUCUGCUAAUACAAACUGCUAAUAGUUAGUCUCUUAUGCCCUAAAGUAAGAAUGUACUUCCAAUAAAGGUGACUCAUCUCCUAUUUUGUCAAUUUGUUUAAACAAACUACCAGGUGCUUGUUACAAGAUGACAUUUUUGAUGCUAGAUUAUAAAUUAGAAUUUCUGAGAAAGGUAACCUUUGAAAUGAGCUUGGAAAGAUAAACAUGCCCUGCAAAAAAAUCUAACAGCAGCAUCCUAAGACAUCAAUGUGUAUUAAGUUAGAAGAUUAUAAACAGUAAUGAUACCAUUAACACCCAUACAUGCAGUUUAAGAAAUAGAGGAUUAUCACUACCUUGGAAGAUCUCUGUGUUCACAUCCUUCCUCUUUACUUCCCAAAGGUAAUUUUGUUCAGUAUUUUAUUACCGCUUGAUUCCCACCCCCCCCCAGAUUCAUUAGGGUAUAACUGAUGGAUGAAACGGUAGUAUAUAAUGUGAUGAUUUAAUAUAUGUAUACAAUGCUUUUCUAUUCUUUCGAGUUUUACUGUAUGUGUUCUACCCCUAACUUAAAUAUCUCUAAAUAACAUAUUACAUGCUUUGAAUUUUAUAUGAAUGAAAGUGUAUUGUAAUUGAAAUGUCUUUUUUUAAAAAUAAAAGUUUCUUAAGACUCAUCCACAUUGUUCUUUAUAGCUGCAAUUCAUUCAUCAUCUCUGCUAACUAAUACGGGGGGUUUUUUUGUUUGUUUGCUUGUUUGUUGCUUGUCAGACCCACACCUGAGACAUAUGCAAGUUCCCAGGCUAGGGGUCAAAUCGGAGCUGCAGCUGCUGGCCUAUACCACAGCCAUAGCAAUGCAGGAGCUGAGCCACAGGUGACAGAAAUGUCGGAUCCCUAACCCACUAAGCAAGGCCAGGGACUGAACCCACAUCCUCAUGGAUAGUACUUGGGCUUGUAACCCUCUGAACCACAGCAGGAACUCCUCUGCUAAAUAAUAUUGUAACAUAAGAAAACAGCAUCAUUUAUUUAUACAUUCUACUGCUGGUCAGCAUAUGAGUUGUUUCCAGUUUUCUGCUAUUUCAAAAAAUUUUCCUGUGAAUAUUUUUGUGCAUAUCUUUUGCGGUAUGUGGGUAAAAACUCCUUUAAGAGUGGAAUCACAGGGUCAUUGGAUACUUUCAUAUUUAGCUGUAUAGGAAAAUAUUAUUUCUUGUUAUAUCUUACUAAAUUUUCUAAAGGUAUUACACCAUUUUAUAUUCUUUUUUUUUUGUCUUUUGUCUUUUUUGAUGUUGUUGUUGUUGUUGUUGUUGUUGUUGCUAUUUCUUGGGCCGCUCCCGCGGCAUA